rnacentral:rRNA from 2 species
AACGACUCUCGGCAACGGAUAUCUCGGCUCUCGCAUCGAUGAAGAACGUAGCGAAAUGCGAUACUUGGUGUGAAUUGCAGAAUCCCGUGAACCAUCGAGUCUUUGAACGCAAGUUGCGCCCGAAGCUUCGGCUAAGGGCACGUCUGCCUGGGCG